UACGUAGGGUGCGAGCGUUAAUCGGAAUUACUGGGCGUAAAGCGUGCGUAGGUGGCGCGUUAAGUCCGUUGUGAAAGCCCUGGGCUCAACCCAGGAACUGCUUCGGAUACUGGCGCGCUUGAGGCUAGUAGGGGUCACUGGAACUGACGGUGGAGCGGUGAAAUGCGUAGAUAUCGUCAGGAACGCCAAUGGUGAAGACAGGUGACUGGGCUAGUUCUGACACUGAGGCACGAAAGCGUGGGGAGCGAACGGG
rnacentral:rRNA from 1 species